UUGAACAGAUAAAAAAAAAAAGAAAAUAUACAUACAGGUUCAUAUACAGAGUGACAAGGGAUAAACGUUUGUUCCCACGAUACAGCAUCAAUGAUCCUGUGACCAGUGCAUAAUAAAAUUACUAUACAAACCACUUUGAAAAAUGUAUCGACCAAUUUAAUGUUUUUAAAUGGUUAUUAUACGGAGCAUUAUAUGAGAAAUAUUGAAAAUACAGUACAGUAAUAUAAAAUAAAUUUGAAAGCAUACGCUGUUUAUUCUGAACAUUUUUAUCAGAAUAAGAUCAAACGUGAAUACAUUUUUUGAACACUGAAGUAAGCUUAUUUACAUGGCAUAAAUGAACAAUAAAAAAAAAAGAAAAUAUAAAAUAAUAACAAUAUGUACAGUUAACAGCCUUCUUUGAACGCUCGUCACGGUUAUGGUGGCUUAUGCAUAAUUAACAAAAAAUUAAAAUUAAAAUGGACAUGUAUAAUAAGGUUUAAAGAUGAUACAUCCAGUGUUAAUCAGUUAAACUCAAAACAAUUAUCAAAAACAUAUUUUUCGGGCUAUCAGUUUGAUUGAUGACUUUGAAAUAUCGUAAUUCGUUAGGUAAGGUGCAUUAUAAUAGACGUAAAUUUGCAUUGAACUGUCGAAAGCUACUUCGCACUACAACUUAAGUUUUUGUGAAGCAACUGCAUUCUUAGAACACGGAGGAGAUGGAGGAGUAUGAGAACCCGAAAGUAAUCAAAAAACAAAUUCCAUGUCAGUUUUAAAUACAAACAUUCAAAAUGUAUUACAGAAAGUGAUUGUGUCUAAAUAAUGUCUAACUAGUAUAAUAAAGAAAAAUGAUCAAUUCAAAAAUUUAUGGUAAAAACGUGAUGUCUUCAUUUGAAAAACUUAAGAUUGAAUCAUCACAGGACACUACUUAAGUAGUAAAUAAAUCGCAAGAAUUGGAAAAUACAUUGUUUUAAAUUAUAUUUAAAAUAAAAAAAAAUUAAAAAUGUUUAAUAUUUAAAAAAAAAAAAAAAUGAUAAUGAAAAUCAUCAUAUUGUAUACCUACAAAAUGUCAGCCUAAAUACAAGGUGAAUUCACAAAAGUAUGCGUUGCUCAAUACUUUCCCUCCCCUGCAUUUUCACUUUAAAAUUCAAAUUUUGAUUUUAAUAAUUUUCAGUAAGAAUAACAUGCAGUUAAAGAGGUAAUGUAACUAUAAGUAUCCUAUACUAUAAUAUCAAAU